GCCCCGGGGAACUGACAGCCACACUUUCAAGGGCUGAGCUGGAGCAGACUGAAUGGGAUAAACAAGCUAACGAGUGGACGUCACUUUGCUCGGUGCCUGGCACCCGGGAAACGCUUCAUAACCAUCAGCCACUAUUUCUCCCGUGGACUGAAAGCAGUUUCCAGCUGGGGUGACUGUGUUGGGUGCCCGAAAUGCCUCGAUCGGCAGCUGCCCAAAAAGAUGUACUCCAGGCCUGCUUCACGACCAUUACAUGGCUGGAGCCUGCAGGAGGGCCUGGGGCCGGCCUCUGCAGCUGGUGGUGUUCAUAAAAGCCUCCUUUUUGCUUGCUUUUCUGUGGCUAAUCCUGGGAGUAGAAUGCGCAGGCGAAGCCCUGGCAGAUGGAGAUGAAGAGAUGACAGUGCAGAGAAAUACCUGGAGGAAGGCUCCAUGGAAGGGACUCAGGGUCCAAAGCUAACACUAUGCCAUGAGCGUAUCUUGGAGCUGGAGGACACGAGGGGCUGACUGCAGAAGCUCCACAGAUCAGCCUGGAACAUUCACCAAGCCUCUGCCGUGUGCUACGCCAUAUUGCUUUCUUGCUCUGGGGAGCCUUCUUUCACUCUCCAAGGCCGGAUCACCUCUCUAGCAUCCCUGAAGCCUGCUCUCCCUUCCUUAACUUGAUCACCUCCAGAGAUGGGGUGCUCACUGCCUCACCUUGGUCUGGGGAGCUGAGAUGAUGCGCUCCUGCUUAAAUGUCACCACGUGCAGAUGAGAAGCACAAGGAAAAGAAUGUGUAUUUUUCAUCUGCCUUUUCCAAAUGCCAGGUUCCUAUUAGAGGAAUUGCUUCAUACGAUGGCAGAGGCUGACAAAUCCCAAAUCCGAAGGGCAGGCCAGCAGGCUGGAAGCUCAGCAACAUCUAGAAUAGCGUUUGACCAAAAGAACCAGUCAAGUCAACACACAAAAUUAACCAUCAUAUUUGCUAGUACAGUUUCUGUGGACCUCUGUUUCCCCAUCUGUUAACUGGAGAACAGACCCUUCUUGAUCUUCAAGCUUGUCCUCUGUGAAACGGGACUGAUGGACUGGGAGAGCCCGGAGGGCCUGUUUCCACUGGUCCAGAUGGCUGGAUUUCCCAAGGGUGUCUGCAUCCCCUAAGUGGGGCCUCAACUUGCUCUGACCUGGAAAAGAGAUGAGGAAACAGAGGCACAGAAAGUUUCUGACAAUCACCUAGCUUGCACAAAUAAGACACGCUGAAGCAGAGACUCUCACUCAGGCAGCCUUGCUCCGGGGCUGGUGCUCUGAACCCCGGGAGAAGCGCAUGGCCCACUGUGUAGAUUCAGCAGGUGAAAAUGUGCUCUGCAGCUCUGCUUCCUUUUUUUUUUUCAUGCUUGUGGAAUGUUCCGGAGUGUGGCUGUACCGUAGCUGAUACAUCUCGUUUCCCGCUGAUGAACAUGCAGCAGAGCGCGUUUCCCGGCUGGGAGCAGAAGAGGAAGCAGGAAGGUGUGAAGCAUGAAGAGGUUGGGGUAUGCCGUGCUGGUGUGAAGAUGGAGGGUCCACGUUGAGACGAAAACAAGUGGCCUCUCGAAGCUGAGAGCACCCCACAGCAGACAGCCAGCAACGAAUCGGGGGCAGCGUUCUGCCAGUAACAGGAAUGGGUGUGGAAGAGGAUCCUGAGCUCCGGAAAAGAACACAGCGGCCCAGAGACCCCUCGAUUUCAGUCUCAGCACGGUCUCCAGCCACACCAGGCUGAAGCUCUGACCUGGGGAGCUGGGAGCUGAUAGGGCCGGGUACCGGGGCUGGAACCCAAGGGAUCCAUAAUCUCACACGCUCAUGGCCAGAACCAACCUCCAGGUUCUAGGUUCUCAAAAGCUGCCGACUUCCUGGGAACCACGCAUCCCUCCUCCCUCCCGGGAGCCCAAAUUCCAAGAAAUGCAGCUAAAAUUGGCCCUCGAACAGCUUUUGCAGAGCACGUCGCAGCUUUUUUUGGGUCUAGAGAGCCAGUUUCCAUGAUGGAAGUGGCACAGAAGGAGAGACCCAGCUAAAAACAGCCACCGCCCAGAAUGGCUGUUCGCAGGAUGCCGCCUCCCCUGCCUCUUCGGGGGUUUGGAGACUUCACUUCCGCAGCAGCUGCCGCCCCCCCAAUCGCCACUAGGUGGCAGCAUCGCAGCGCGCGCGCCCCCGGGCCCCGGAGCCGCUCCUCAGGAUGAUGCCCAUAAAAUACGCACUGGCCGCAAAAAAUUAUUUCCCUUUUAUUGGGGGGCACUUGUUUGCAUUGCAGGAGCUCCGCGGAGGUGUGUCUUCUAAGGGCUGACCUAGUGCCGAGAGAAGCACCGCUGGAGACUUCUCCGAGCGCCCCCGUGUCCCUGCUGCAGGCCGCUCCCCGCACCAGCCCACCCGACUUAGUGGGUUCAUUAUGCCUCGGGUCCAACGUCAUAGCCGAAGUCUGGAAUUUUCCAGGAGAGGUGACCGAGCCUGGGGUGGGGGAAUGCACCCAUUUGGGGCUGGUGGUCCUGCCAUGGGAGGGGGGCGUGGCUUCCCUCUGUGGGCCUCAGGGAUGGAGUUUUGGCUCAAGAGUGUGGCUGCCUUGUUCUUCCGUCACCGUGUGGGGAACGGGGCCGUAGGGGAACCCACCGCCUGGGCCACAGCGAGGAGUAAAUGAGUCACAAUGUGAAUGGGACAGUGCCUGCCACAUCACAAGGACUCCAGUAUGAGCUACUUUUCAUAUUUCCUCAGCGUCCCCAGGGGCUGGUAUAAUGGCCAUCCCACAAGUAGUAGCCCAGUGGGUCUCACCGCCCUAGUCUUGGAGGCAAGAGGGGGAGGUGGGGAUCAGCUCCAAGGCCUUGAUUCUCAAAGCCUCUCCUGGGCCGGCAGCAGGCAACACAGUUGCGCUCCUUAGAAACGUGGAGUCUCGGCCCCACCCAAACCACGGAGCCAGACUCUUCCUUCACAGCACCCCCAGGGGCUUCGUGGCAUCCCGAGGUCGGAGGAACACGGCUCCUAGGCACCUUCCAGCCCUGGAGGGCUGGGAUUCCCUGCCCAGUCCUGGGUGAGUUCUGUCUCCCAGAUUCACAUCCAUCAGAAGAUCGACCAUCAGGCAAGCCCUGCGUUUGAGCCUUUCCUCCUGCUUUUCUGGAACGCUUUCUGCAGCUGCCUGGGUGCUCCGGUGUGACGGGGGUUGACAUGCUGCAGUGGGCCCGGCCGGGCUCCAUACACUCCCCCGAGCUCCCAGAUCUGGCUCACCUCCUGCCUACGGAUCCUGCUGCACCCUCCCCGGCCCCCGUGCCUGGCCACAGCAAUCCCCAUCAACCCGGUGACCCUGGGACCAGGAACCGACUUUGUCUCCUCUGACAUCCCCUUUCUGCCUGUCGUGACCCUCUCCACCUUGGAGGUGUGGAUCCAAAGCCGCUCCGCUGGGCAUUCCUCCUUCAGCAUUGACGGAGAACCUGCUGUGUGCCGGGAUGCUGCACGAGUUCCUGACCCAGGCUGCUUGGAUCAGAAGCACCUCCAGAGCUUUACGGUGACAGCUCAAGGCCCCUUGUUUUAUUUGUUUUUUUUUUUUUUUUAAAGAUUUUAUUUAUUUAUUUGAGAGAGAGAGAAUGAGAGAGAGCACAUGAGAGGGGGGAGUGUCGGGAGGGUCAGAAGGAGAAGCAGACUCCCCGCCGAGCAGGGAGCCCGACAUGGGACUCGAUCCCGGGACUCCAAGAUCAUGACCUGAGCCGAAGGCAGUCGCUUAACCAACUGAGCCACCCAGGCGCCCAAGGCCCCUUGUUUUAUUAUUGUGGUGUUUGGAUGGCAUGAGGCCCCCUGAUUCUCUAGCACUUAACCCAGCAGUAUCCGUCAUACACUGAGGGUCAUGGUCACAUGGUGAGGGUCACGCACUGUGGGUCCUUAUAGUCCAUUUGGGUGAACAAAUGAACUUCUCUCUUCCCCUGUGUCUGUUUCUGAGUUCUCACCCUGCGGUCUGGACUCCAUCUCCCCCCAUGCUUCCAGAUGCUUCUGGAAUCCUAUUUCAGGCCAGAUGCUACUUGUCAGUGCAUCUCAAACUUUCACAGGCACGAGAAUCACCCAAGAUCUUGUCAGAAUGCAGACGCAGAUUCUCUCGGUCUGGGAUGGAGCCCAAGACUCUGCAUUUCUAACACGUUCCAGUUGGUGCGAGCCCCUGGCCCACACUUUGAGCAACAGAGAUCAGUUCUCACUUCUGAUUUCACCCGAGAAUCCUUUGGGGGGUUUUGCAUGCUCAUGUCUGGGUCCUACCCCAGACCAACUGAACCAUGCAGAGGGGUGAGGUGGGGCCCCGUGUCUCCGGGUGAUUUCAAUGUGCAGUCACAACCACCAGCCUAGGAGCGUGUAGAUGCAGGCGGUCAGGUUCUACUCCAGAGCUACCUCGUCAGAAAUGCUAGGAGUGAGGCACGGGAACGACGAGAACCACGGCUGCCCUAGGAAUGCCUGACCUUGGCUUCACCCAUCAGCUCCUACCUGCUCUUCCUGCCUCUUCAUUCAUUCUUUAUUUGGCCUGGAUAGUACAGUUCCGGAAACGCCAAUUUGGGUGGCUCAGUUGGUUAAGUGUCUGCCUUUAGCUCAGGUCAUGCUCCCAUGGUCCUGCUCGGUGGAGAGCCUGCUUCUCCCUUUCCCUCUCCCUGCUGCUUUGCCUGCUUGUGCGCUCUCUCUCUGGCAAAUAAAUAAAAUCUUAAAAAAGAAAAAAAAGUGCCUGGUCUCAAAGGACAAAAGUCAAAGAAGGGGGUUCUUAUUGGACAGGUGCUCUGUUCUGCUGACCAAGGCAGAGGCUGACAUGAGGCCUUUUUUGUGAUCUGAAAAGAGUUUUCUGACCUUCUCCGUGCUAACUAGAAAGCCCGCUUCGGCAGAGCUCCCUAUUACCUUGCUACUGGAAAGUGUUUUGGGGGAAAAACUCUGGGCUCCUUUACCUCUUCCUCACAUUACCCUUCAAGCUGUUAGCAGACGUUUUGGGGGCACAAACAUAGGGAAAAGCCAUCCGCACCAUUCCACAGCCCCUAGCUUUGUUUCUCUACCACCCGUUAGCCCCAGGUGUUCAAAACCUUGUCCAUUCAUUGGAAUCACCAGGGAGCUUAUACAUAUGCUGACAUCUGGGUCCCAUGCCCAGGGAUUCUGUUUUAGUUGGUUUUGGGGGCAGCCUGGGCAUUUUUUUUUUUAAAGAACCCCACCCCCACUCCUGAUGAUCCCAGUGAAGAGCCAAGGAUUUGGCUAGAGACCUGCUCUUUGAGUCCAGAAAGCCUAUUUAAUAAGAGAUGGAAGAAUCGUUUGCUGUGCCUGAGAAAUUGGGGGCCUGGGUUCAGCUGCUUGAGCCCCAGCGCAGAUGCCAAUCAAACACAAAGCUGAGGAUCCAGAUCUUGGAGGUGUUCACGCAAGCCCACUGCCCAGGGGCAGUGGUUGGAUCUAGCAGAAACUGCAUCCCACACAUAUUUACUCUUUGGGUCUUUAAGGACACCAGGCCAGGUGUACUAUCUUGGUAUUUCAGACUAGCGAACCAGGGUUUGAAGAGCUUUCUAAAAGCUACCUUUCAACAAGAACUUCAACCUGUGCUAAGUGCUUUACAUGCAAUUCCUUAUUAAGUUAUUGCAUGAGAUAGAGACAAAUGAACCUGGAUUUCAGAUCCCUUUUAAAAAUAACCCCGGGGGCGCCUGGGUGGCUCAGUCGGUUAGGCGUCUGCCUUCGGCUCAGGUCAUGAUCCCAGGGUCCUGGGAUCGAGCCCCGCAUCGGGCUUCCUGCUCUGCGGGAAGCCUGCUUCUCCCUCUCCCACUCUCCCUGCUUGUGUUCCCUCUC